GUUUUCUUUUAAGUUUGUUUGUUUAAAUCAAUCCACAUGAUGAUUAGCCAUUGUUUUGGCUGUACUAAUAAACUGAUUGUAUACCUUCAUAAAAAUAGGAAGAUGUGGUACCAUUGCCAAUGGGACAUCUUUUCACCAGUGACACAAUGCCAUAAAAAGUAACAAUUAAAGGUCACAGUACGGUCUCCAACAACGCACAAAACCCAUUCUUCAUAGCAUGAAAAAUGUAAAAUAAUUCAAACGAGAA
rnacentral:lncRNA from 1 species